AUUUCAGGCAGUCCCCCUGCUGGCAAUGCAGCAGCCGGCGUAAGUAAGAAAAACCGAAGGGCGUACUAUUACGCCCUGCGGCAUUUAGAGCCGCUUAGAAUAGGGCGUAAUAGUACACCCUCCAGUUUUCAGGGGUUAAUAACUUAUUUAUUUGCUGCAAGUGCAGAAAAUGUGCAUGUUCUUUUAACCAGGGAUAGGCACAAAUGGCAUUCCAUUUACUGUGGACUAACCUAGAACUUUAGAAGUCUAUUCCUCUUCACAUUAAUUAAAAGAAUGAAGCUAAAGUCUUGGUAGGUUUAUAUAUAUCCAGUGGCGUCGCUAGGGGGGGGCCAGAGGGGGCCAUGGCCCCCCCUACAUCAUGCUGUGCCCCCCCUUGGGCCCCCCCAAAUGCCGGCAACUAGCUGGCCAUCUGCUUCCCUCGGACUGUAACAGCCUGUCACAGCCCGAGGGAAUGCAGUGCUGAGGUGCUGGGGGCGGUCUGUG